CGCAAAGAAGCCUAGGAAGGAGCAGCCAGGGACAUACCAGAGAAAUAAGGAAGACAGUUUCUUUUAUUUUUAAUUUUGGAUUCAAGGGGCACAUAUCUACAUAUGUGCAGGUUUGUUGCAUGGAUAUAUUGUGUAGUGCUAAACUCCCACUUAUAAGUGAGUACAUGCAGUAUUUGAUUUUCUGUUUCUGUGUUAAUUCACUUAGGAUAAGGACCUUCAGCUGCAUCCAUGUUGCUGCAAAGGACUUGA
rnacentral:lncRNA from 1 species